AGAGCGAACGCUGGCGGCAGGCUUAACACAUGCAAGUCGAGCGGGCGUAGCAAUACGUCAGCGGCAGACGGGUGAGUAACGCGUGGGAACAUACCUUUUGGUUCGGAACAACACAGGGAAACUUGUGCUAAUACCGGAUAAGCCCUUACGGGGAAAGAUUUAUCGCCGAAAGAUUGGCCCGCGUCUGAUUAGCUAGUUGGUGAGGUAAUGGCUCACCAAGGCGACGAUCAGUAGCUGGUCUGAGAGGAUGAUCAGCCACAUUGGGACUGAGACACGGCCCAAACUCCUACGGGAGGCAGCAGUGGGGAAUAUUGGACAAUGGGCGCAAGCCUGAUCCAGCCAUGCCGCGUGAGUGAUGAAGGCCCUAGGGUUGUAAAGCUCUUUUGUGCGGGAAGAUAAUGACGGUACCGCAAGAAUAACGCCCCGGAUAACUUCGUGCCAGCAGCCGC
rnacentral:rRNA from 1 species